AUAUCAAUAAGCGGAGGGAAAGAAACUAACAAGGAUUCCCCUAGUAACAGCGAGUGAACCGGGAAGAGCUCAAAUUUGUUAUCUGGCCCUUGGGUCCGAGUUGUAAUCUAUAGAGGCGUUUUCCGCGCCGGACCGUGUCCAAGUCCCUUGGAAUAGGGUAUCAAAGAGGGUGACAAUCCCGUACUUGACACGACGACCGGUGCUAUGUGACACGUCUUCGACGAGUCGAGUUGUUUGGGAAUGCAGCUCAAAAUGGGUGGUAAAUUCCAUCUAAAGCUAAAUAUUGGCGAGAGACCGAUAGCGAACAAGUACCGUGAGGGAAAGAUGAAAAGCACUUUGGAAAGAGAGUUAAACAGUACGUGAAAUUGUUAAAAGGGAAACGAUUGAAGUCAGUCGUGUCGGUCGGAUUCAGCCUGGUCUCCAGGUGUAUUUCCUUCCGACGGGUCAACAUCAGUUUGGAUCGGCGGAUAAAGAUGGAGGGAAGGUGGCACCUUCGGGUGUGUUAUAGCCCUCUGUUGCAUACGCUGGUCUGGACUGAGGCAUGCAGCUCGCCUUUAUGGCCGGGUUCGCCCACCUUUCGCAGCUUUAGGAUGUUGACAUAAUGGCUUUAAACCUC
rnacentral:rRNA from 1 species